GUGGAGGCGCGGGAGGGGGGGGGAGAGGCGCGUCCACGUUGCCUGGAGCGCCGCGGGCUCUCCGAACCGCUCCCGCCCGCCACAGCCACGCCCCUCAGGCGGGGGGGGGAGGUUGGGGAAGGGGGUGCACCCCUAUCCUCGAAAUUAGCGGAUGUAGUUCAGCACUUGUUUCCGAUGGUGUUCCCUCAUAAACAGCAAGCGCGCAUUUCCUUCGCAGUUGAUAGAUGGGGAGGGACGAUUUACCUCAAGGGGGGGGGGAGAAGUGAGGGGGAUUGCUCUCUUCACACAGCAGGAAAUUUACAUCAGGUAGGGCAAUACUGUACCUUUUUUCACACGGCAAGUAGAGGGGAGUAAAUUUCCCUCAAGUGGGGCAAUAUCUGUCUUCACGCAAUAGGUAGAUGGGAAGAAAUUUGCUUCAGAUGGGGCAAUAUCUGCCUUCAUGCAGCAGGUAGGUGGGAGUAAAAUUUUACCUCAGGAUGGGGGAUUUUUCAUGAUAACACCAAGCAAGAAGAGGAGCUUAUUAACUUGUGUAACAAUAUCAUAAAAAUGGGAAGGAAACAGAAAAACAUGAUUCCUGAACUUAGCCCUGUGUCCUAACACAGCCUAGGUCAUUUGCCUAGGCUAAAAGCUCAUAGCAAAGACAUAUUUUAAUCAUUAGGAGCUUUCUUUGUGGAUGGUGGUGGUACGAUAUAUGUUUGCUUUUCAGGUUUUUUAAGUGUUGCUUUUUUAAAAGCUAUUCUUGAAAAAUAACCUCAGAAUUUAAAUUCAAAAUUAAUUAAAGCACUCAAAACAAUACAUCUAAGAAGCUGCAGAUUUGUUCAGAGUAGUGAAUUAUUCUGAUCACCCUUCUCAAGCUGAUUUUGUAUCUGUAGUGUAGAAUGUGGGAGGUGAUAUUAGGGAGUAAAAUAAGAUCUGAGGUAAAAAGGUUGAACAGAACACAAAGAGGAUAUCACUUUGUGGAAAGUACUUGGGAAGACAUAUUUAGGUAGCAAUCCUUGAUGGAAUAAACCCCAUUGUAAUCAGUAAGACUUCACAAUAGAGAUGGUUAUGAUUGCACUGUUCUAUAUUUUAGGGAACCACUGUAUGCUACAAGUUCAAAUGCUACCCUCACAGCCAUUUUCAAUGGGCUCCCCAAAAAUGCAAUGUAAAUGCAAAUCUAUCAGCCCUGGAUAUUAAAAUGAUUACAAAUGUAAAUGCUCUGCUAGAUUUGACUAAAUUCCAAACUAGUUCAGCAGCACCACCCCACUACCAAAUGCCUCUGGGAAGCCCACAAGCACAGCAUAAUGGCAGCAACAUUCGGCCAUUGUUGCUUCCCAGAAACUGAAACCUUAUGGGUGCAUACAAGCCAUACAUUUAAAUCACAUGAUUUCCUCCCAAAGAAUCUUGGAAAUUGGUUUGUUCAGAUUACUGAGAAUUGUUGCUCUGUGAUGAGUAAACUAAAGUUUCCAGGAUUAUUUGAGGGAAGUUAUGUGCUUUAAAUGUAUGGCUUGAAUGCAGCCCAAGCAAUAAUGCUCCUGAACAUUGAGGUUGCAUACAGCCAUUGUGCUCUGUGCAUUUGUCUAAACCCCUUUACAAUUCUAGGCAUCACCACAUCUUAUGACAGUGAAUUUUACAAAUUAUAUACUAUGCAAGUAGUACUUCCUUUUGUUCAUCCUUGAUUUGUGGCUUAUUUGUUUCAUUGGAAGAUCUGCAGUUCAAAUUAUUAUUUAAGAGGAAGAAAACUUAUUUUCCUCUCCACCCAGAUUGAGAGAUCACAAUGAACAUUUGUAUGUUCAUAAUAUAACUCAUCAUUUGCAAUUAGAGUGUUUGCUUGAUCCUGACAAUUUUUUUCAAACUAAGGUACAAAAUGCAAAAGCAAUGCUUGUGUUAUGUGCCUUUGAGAUUCAGAUAGUUAAUGUGCACAUUCAGGAAUCAAUUUUAAAUGGCAUAUUCAGUCCAAAGUUUCUCACACUCAAGUUUCAAGAUUUCAGGGGCAAGUAAGAACUUCCAAAAGGAUGCUGUACUUUAGAAGUUUUAUAUUUGUACAGUGUUGAGUUACUGUAGACAGUUUGGAAAUAAAUUUAUUAACAGCUGAAAGCAGGUUCAUAUAUUUAUUUUUUGCCUUCCUUUGAGGAACUUGAUGUUGUUUACAAAGCUUUCACCUACUCAUUUAUCCUCACGACACCUUUGUGCAGUAGAUUAGGCAGGGAGGUAGUGACUGGUGCAAGGUCAUCUAGUAAGCUUCAUGGUUGAAGAGAGAAUUAAACCUGCAUCUCCCUGGUCUUUGCCUGAUACUCAAACUAAUAUGUCAGACUGGCUAUCAGAUAUGAGUACGCUAUUGUUCUGUUUUAUGACUUCCUACAAAAGGAGAAAGAUGAAAGUCCUGUUCAUGUACCUGCCUACAAUGAAUAGGUUCAGAGUUGGUUCUCCAGCAAGAAUCUGGCUUGCCUUUCAAACUGUACUGUUCCAUUUAACACGACCACUACAACUUACCUUUUACUAUGAACAGUGAAGGGACAGAAGGCUCUUAAGUUAUGCUCUCACACAGCUCUCCAUUUGUCUACAGGUGAAGCUGAAGAACCAGGGCUGUAUCCAUGUGGGAGAGCUGAGGCAUCUCUGUAGAUGGCAGCAAAAUUUUAUACCAAUUGAACCUAAACAGGUUUUAGAAUUGCUCCCUGGGUCUUUUAAGGGAAGCAUACAAUUGUAGAGUUGGAAACGACUUCGUUGGUCAUCUAUUCCAGCCCCCUGCAAUGAGUAGAUAUGCUGCCAUCUGUAGCUUUUCUUUUUAUUUUGAACUAAUGUGAUGCUAACAUGCUGCCUAUGUGCAGUAUUACAUGUGUUUCUGUGUCACCAUUUUGAAAAAUAAUAUUUUAAAGGUGUAAUGGCUUCAUUUUGAAAAAUGUUGAUGUUGUGCAUUAUACUAGCCAUUCUUAGUUGGGAGAAGUAGUUUGCUUCCAUCAGCUUGCUAACAGAAUGACAUUUAAGCGCUUCACAGAAGAAAAUGAAUGCUACUUCCUACAGUGGAUUCUCUAAUCAGUCUACUAUACUUUAUAAUGAAGUGAUUACAGAACUUUGUAUCACAUAAAUUCCAGUUGCUGUCUUACUCAGGAUUAAGUCCCAUUGGAUUCAAGGGGAGUUUUAAAUGUGUGCAAAAGAUUGCAGCCAAAGUUGUCUAAAAAAUCUAAAAAAAUUCCUGAUUAAUACAUAGUCUAUAAGAAUGUACUGUGGAUGAAGCUCUUGGGGAGGUGCUUAGUAUUUAUGCACUGUGUGAAAAUAGUAGAAUGUAUUUCUACUACUAACACACCCCUUUUCUGCUUCCUUUAUUCAUCCAGUACAUACUCAAAUAUCAAAUGCAUCCCAGAAAAGGCAUCUUGAAAAUUUAAAAAUUACGAAGGUUUUUUUUAUUAGUAAACAUAAGCAAGGUAUCUUCAGAAAAGACAAUAACACAUGAAAUUUAUUAUAAGGAUGAGAAAUUAUAUGAACAUUUAGAAGAAAAUCACUCAUGAUUGUUACUAAUUUGCAGAGCAAAUGAUACAGUUUUACAAACACUUGGAAAGAAAGAGACUGGUUUUUGUGAAUAAAAUUGAUUUUGUUUUGUAUGCUACCAGAACUGAAUUUUUGCUGAAGGCAAUGUGGAAGAAAUUUCCUAGAAAAUAUUUGUUUACUUGCUCUUUCAUCUGAGUCCACUGGUUUGUUUUGACAGUCACUAUGACAAAGCUGCUUUUACCUAUCAGGAAGAUAAGUGCUUUAUUAGCAUUUCCUGUUUACAGUCACAAGGAUUACUCAAAUCUUAUUUUUAUCAAGCAAGUCAGUAAACUAUAUGUAAUCUUACAUAAUUAUUUUAGUUUUUAAAAUACUGAAAGGGAUACAGUUAGAGGGAAUGUGUGCAUUUUACCCACCUGCUUAAGUGAUCAAGGUACUGUAGAAGGUUACUGUUGCUCACUCUUCCAAAUGGGAUAAAAUGGACAGUUCUAUGGACACAGGGAAAUGUAUGGGCUUAGUCCAAAUCCUAAGCUCCCUCAGGCAUCAGCCCAUCUUGAAAACAGGUGGAGAAAAUAAAUUUCUCCAAAUUUUCAGGAGCAAGUUUCUGGUUACCUUACUUAACCGUAUGAUUUCCCAAAGGAUUUUCCAUUUUCUUCUUGUUUGUUAACUUAAAAAUGACUCAUACUGUUCAUGACAGUGUAAGGUUCCCUCCCCUGCUGUUUGUCAGCUGCACUUCGUGGAAUGCCUUGGGAGUAAUGCCAUGUUGCACUUCAUUAUUCCUGAGGCAUUCUGGGAAGUGUGGUUGGCAGUAAGCAGUGCAAGGUUCUCUUGACAGUGUCUCCCCAACAACACUUUCUGCAAAAACAAGGAAGGUGCAUGAAUCCUGAAAAGGUUGGAUACAUUUCUCCCUCACUGCACAAAACAGCACAAAAUUGUCCCCUCCCCCAUUUUCCAGGAGGGGAAUUUGGCCCAGUGUUAGUUUUAACUUGUGUGCAGGGACCUCCAGACUGGAGCCUUAUUUUGGAGGUUCGUUCUCGUACCAGUGGAAUACUGCUGUGGAAAGUAAUGUGGGACAGAAUGGUUUUAUGGGAGUAUUUCCCCCUUGGCGUGCAUGGGUUGGUUGCUUUCAUGCCUGGGUGUUUUAAUGCCUGUAGACAUUGUUGACAUGCUACUCUCAGGUUGGUGGGAGUCAUUGGUGGUGCUAUGGUCACUAAGGAAGUGGCCAAUGAAGUUGCUAUGUUCACUGCUGUUUGUUCCAUUGUUUUCAUUUCAACUUUGCUGCUGGGGCUGGGGUCAAUAAAGUUUCAACUAUGCUACCCUGGCAUUGUUACACUGGUGUAAGUUGGCCACCAGCAUGGUGUGACCAUAGGAUUGCCAAGCACCAUUCUUAAUACACUAGGCACAGUGCUUCACCUUAAUACCAAUGGUAGGAAAGCUAUAAUAUUUGCAGGUAAGAAAAAAGAGAUUUUGAAAAGGGAGAGAAGGGUCAAAAGUAUGGUAGUUUGAGCAGCCAGACUUACCAUGUUUUCAUUGUUUAAAAGGGCAGGUCCCUCCACAUUCAGUUUCUUAAGGCAUGCUGCUGUUGCAAUAUAGGGAGCAUUGCUAUGCACAUGAACCUGAAGCCAGUGUAAGUUCAGCUGGUGUAAUGUCAUAUCGAAUCCAAACCCCAUCCAGCAGCAAGGCUGCUGCUCUGUUUAACCCUGACAGAGAGAAAACAAGCCUUUAAAAUAACAUUUUGUGCCAGAUUCACAGUCACAUGACCAAGCUGAACAUGCUUAGGAUCCAACCUCAGUUCCACCCACCCCCGGUCUCACCUUACCCCCUUUUGGAGGACUUACACCAGCCUUGGCUUAGCUGGGAUGAGCAAGCUACUCCAGCAUAUUUUUGACUAAGCUGGGGUUGAAGACUUAAAACUGACUGAGCUGGAGAUUUUAGCAUCCUAAGGUGCUCUUGCCUUAAGAUUGCCCUCUUAUUCUAAUAACACUACAAUCCCCAUCAGACACUUCUUUUCCUGAAGUGAUAAGGUGCUACCUAUUGUUGUUUAGUCGUGUCCGACUCUUCAUGACUCCUUGGACCAGACCACACCAGGCAAUCCUUUCUUCCACUGCCUCCUGCAGUUUCGUCAAAAGGUGCUACCUAUACAUGAGGCAAAAAGAAACAAGGUUUUGAAAAAUAUUUGACUUUCUAACCUUAUGUCUCUUGUAUAUGCUACCAAGAUUUAGCAUAAUUUACUAUAGUGAGCUACUUAAUAUAUAGAUGUAGGAAAAACAUCAAAGUGAUGCCAGCUUGAACUCUUGCUAAAAAUGGAAAGCUGCCAUUACCCCUGAUUCUAAUUGCUAUAUUGUGACAUCACUCCAGAUCUUAUGUUUGUGGUGAAAACCCUACAUAUAACUGCACGGAGAGUGCAAAACAAUUUAAUAACAACUGAUAAAGUGUGUGGUU